rnacentral:tRNA from 1 species
GAGGGUAUAGCUCAGUGAUAGAGUGUGUGCUUAGUAUGCACAAGGUCCUGGGUUCAAUUCCCAGUACCUCUG